CUGGCUCACCUGUUUUAACCUGCUUCACGGGGCUGUGGGAGCUGUUGCAGGCCUGAUCCUGGGCCAUCACCGUCACAUCGUCACGUUGAGGACUCCAGACGGACAGUCGAGAUGUGUCUGAAUGUUCUCUGGGACGCAUGGAGCUACAGAGGAAGCACAAAGAGUUAUCUGAAGGCCUGAUCACCCAGCAGGUUGAGCAGCUGCCUUACAGGCUCUGGGACGGACUGGGGCAGGUCUGCCCCUCCCCGCUGACGCUGACCCUGUAGCUCUCGCCGCAGCGCAGAGACGUGAUGUUGCAG